rnacentral:lncRNA from 1 species
GGGAGAGGCCUCGGGAUGAGGGAACCGGUCAGGAUUUGGCAGGGCGAUGCAUUUCUCAGAACACUUCCUUCUCCCUGCUUUUUCUGUCUUCACUAAUAUUUAUUCUUGGGUUUCUAUUUUGUUUUAGAGAGUUUGCAAAACUGCUGUUUUGGGACCGAAGGGAAUAUUCUGCUGUGAAAGAACGUUUUAUGGACUUCAUACAACUGGGACCUUCAACACCGUCACCACCCUUGAAGCAACUGGGGGGCGGGGUGCAGCCGAGUGGGGCUGGUGCACAGCUGUGGCGGACUCCUGGCAUUCUCCACUCCUGGCCAGGCAGCUCUGGAAUCUGGAACAGGACAGGACAUGGUGGGAGCUGCAGGUGGUCCUGAUGUCAUUAAGAGUGAAGAAGAGGUUGAGAGUUUUUGGCUAUCUGCACUCAAUGGGGGAUGUGAAGGAUUCAUUGCAUAGGCCAGAAGAAGGUGUGAGAUCCCCUGGAACCGGAAUCACAGACAAUGGUGAGCUGCUGUAUAGGUAGGUGUUGGGAAACACACCAGGAUCCUCUGCAAGAUCAGACAGUGCUCUUAACUGCUGAGCCAUCUCUCCAGGCCUUCACUUAUUAACCACUUAGUAUAAAUGAAGGUUUUCUACAUGGUGAUGUUUGGG